rnacentral:rRNA from 1 species
GUAGUUAGCCGUGGCUUCCUCCUUAGGUACCGUCAUUAUCGUCCCUAAAGACAGAGCUUUACAAUCCGAAGACCUUCUUCCCUCACGCGGCGUCGCUGGGUCAGGGUUUCCCCCAUUGCCCAAUAUUCCCCACUGCUGCCUCCCGUAGGAGUCUGGACCGUAUCUCAGUUCCAGUGUGGCCGGCCUGCCUCUCAGCACGGCUACCCAUCACAGGUUUGGUGAGCCGUUACCUCACCAACUGCCUAAUGGGACGCGAGCCCUCCCUGAAGCGGAUUUCUCCUUUGACCUCUCUAUGAUGCCAUAGCGUGGUCUUACGCGGUAUUAGCACUGAUUUCUCAGUGUUGUCCCCCUNUUCAGGACCGGUUGCUCACGCGUUACUCACCCGUCCGCCACUAGGUUCGGGAGCAAGCUCCCUCCCCUCGUUCGACUUGCAUGUGUUAAGCGCGCCGCCAGCGUUCGUCCUGAGCCAUAAUCAAACUCUGA